AAAGAAAAGCCCAGGGUCUUAAAUAAAUCCAUUGAAUUGUCCCAAUACAACCUUUGUGCAUAAACCACUCAAAGCUGCACGAGCUAUAUGUGAGAUCGGAUGAACAAGUCAAAAGGUCGGACAUUAGUUUGACGGGUGGAACUGAAAACAGUCAUAAAAAGAAUAGAAAAUGAUGCAGUAGAAAAGCCGAUGACGGCCUGAUAGUAGCAUGUUUUCACGGAAGCAGCCUGAUCCAACUGCAGACAGUCAUGACAGUACUGAUCUAUGCCUUCAAACUUAGAUUGACGGAUGAAAAUUCUAGUGACGUUAAAAUACUCGCACGUGCCGAGGAGAGCAUAUAAUCGUUUAAAAGAAGGAAAAAUGGUGAAGUUAACAAUAGAUUUAAUUGCACGAGGGACAUCGGGCUACACAAAGAAAAAACGAGAUGAAACAAUGCAUCAGUAUUUAAAAAGACUGACUCAUUUGUAUCUAGAAAAUAAAGGCAUAGAUGAAGUGGGAGAUGAUAUGUCACUAUGUAGGAAUCUGUCAGUGCUGUAUCUGUAUGAUAACCAGUUAACACACAUUCCAAGUCUUCACCAGAAUCAGCAUCUUACUAUGAUAUAUCUACAGAAUAACAAUAUCAGCAGGAUAGAGGGACUCGCGCACCUUAUACGCUUAACUAAACUAUAUUUAGGAGGGAAUGCUAUAACUGUGAUCGAAGGUUUAGAGAAACUGGACAGGUUACAAGAACUCCAUGUUGAAAAUCAAGCUCUCCCUCCUGGAGAAAAACUCUUAUUUGACCCCAGAUCAAUAAGGGCAAUUUCUGGUUCACUAAAAGUGCUUAAUGUCAGUGGCAAUAAUUUAGACAGUAUAAAAGACCUUGAGUGUUUAAAUCAGUUAUCACAUUUUCUUGCAAUAGACAACCAGUUAAAUGAUAUGAAAGAACUUGCACAUGUUCUCGGACAGUGGUAUUACCUUAAUCGUUUGGAUUUAAUGGGUAACCCCUUGUGUCACAAAGCAAAAUACCGGGACAGAGUGAUAGUGAUGGCUAAACAGUUAGAUACGUUAGAUGGUAAACAGAUCAGUGAGACAGCAAAACAGUUCUUGAAAAACUGGCAUGCAAAUAAAGAGACACAACGACAGAAGAGAGCAGAUCUGAUACGAAGAGGAACAUCUUUUAUAGAUGACUAUGCUGUUGGUGAAAGUGGAGACCUGCCACCAGUGAGGGAACCUGGGAGAAUGGGAACCAUUCCAGGAUACAUGAUGCCAGGGACAUUUAGAGACCUCUUGAUCAUACAUUCGACUCCAUUGCUCCGCCCCAAUCAAACUAAACGAGCUAGCAGUGCUCCCGUGCAGCGAAAGGUUUACCGAGAAAACAGUUUGACGAAUUGCUGGCCAGAACGUCCGCCCUUGCAGACACGGGGAUCCAGCGCUCGGCCCCGAUCAAGGCAAGGAGUGGCCUCUUAAGAUCCAACCGUGACCAAGCUACUUCGCCAAGAUUCAGAUUCAGGUAGAAAAAGGUACAUUGACACUUCUCAUGGCAGUAAGACCAAUCUUUUCUCUGGAUCUGCCCCUCUUAGACGUCGGCCACUGAUGAGUGUUGCAUUUGAACUAA
rnacentral:misc_RNA from 1 species